GACGCGCAACGUUGUUCCGGCGAUUAGGCAAACACGGUAUCUAAACUAUAAUAUUAAAGAGCAGGGGGAAAAUAGGAGGAAAGAGCCAGCGAAAAUAAAACGAGUGACAAAAAACACGCACACAUCAGCCAACCAACACAGGCACACACACAGGAGACGGUGGGACGCCUACGUCAAUAAGUAAAAACGGACCAAAAUCGUGAAGAAGGAAGGAUGCAGCAGCAGCAGUCCUCGAUGAGGCAGUGGUUGUUGUUGGUGUUGUUGUUGUUGCAACACUGAAGACACACAG